GCCUGGGUGGCUCAGUUGGUAAAGCGUCCAACUUUGGCUCAGGUCAUGAUCUCAUAGGUCGUGGGUUCAAGCCCUGCACCAGGCU
rfam:Felis catus isolate Cinnamon breed Abyssinian chromosome B1, whole genome shotgun sequence.